rnacentral:misc_RNA from 1 species
CUGAACUUUCUUUCUAAGAAAGAACUUCUUGAUUGCUGCCUGAUGGAUGAUGCGUUUAAAUUCAUUGAACAAAAUCAAGGCUUAACGACCUAGGCUUACUAUCCUUACGAGGGAUCUGAAGGACCGUGCAACAUCAACGAGGAAGCCAACCAUGCAGCCAAGAUAACGGUUAUGAAGAUGUUCCAGCCAACAAUGAGGCAGCACUGAUGAAGGCCGUUGCAAAGAAACCAGUUGCUGUUGCCAUUGACGCUGGGGUAUUUGAGUUUCAGUUCUAUUCAAGUGGCAUUUUUACAGGCUCUUGUGGCACUGAACUAGAUCAUGGUGUAGCUGCUGUAUAUGGAGAGAACAACGGAAUGAAGUACUGGCUUGUGAAAAAUUCAUGG